AACGGAGGGUGCGAGCGUUAUUCGGAAUCAUUGGGCGUAAAGAGUGUGUAGGCGGCCGGUUAAGUCAGGCGUGAAAGCCCAGGGCUCAACCCUGGAAGUGCGUUUGAAACUGGCUGGCUUGAGUUCGGGAGAGGGAAGCGGAAUUCCUGGUGUAGAGGUGAAAUUCGUAGAUAUCAGGAGGAAAAUCGGUGGCGAAGGCGGCUUCCUGGACCGAAACUGACGCUGAGACACUAAAGCGUGGGGAGCAAACAGG
rnacentral:rRNA from 1 species